AGCGCAGACGGUUGAUUAAGCCUGAUGUGAAAGCCCGGAGCUCAACUCCGGAAUGGCAUUGGAAACUGGUUAACUUGAGUGCAGUAGAGGUAAGUGGAACUCCAUGUGUAGCGGUGGAAUGCGUAGAUAUAUGGAAGAACACCAGUGGCGAAGGCGGCUUACUGGACGGUAACUGACGUUGAGGCUCGAAAGCGUGGGAGCAAACA
rnacentral:rRNA from 1 species